GAAAAAUGGUGCAAAACGGAUAAGAGUUACCGGGGUGCCCGACGGACCCUGUGGUUGACUCCUCGAGGAACCGCUUCUCCACAUCCACACUCUCACUCCUCUCUCAGUGCCUCCUCCGUCUCCUCCUCCUCUCUCCCCAGCACUAACGCCUCUCUCCACCACCCAGGCGCCUCCACCCUCGCUCCACACUGCCUGGACACCUUCCUCUUUUCUUCUUUUUUUUCCGUGGUUCGAAGAGCGUCUCAAGAUGAAGUGUUUCGGAGACAAAAAUCGAACUUACCACUGUAAGGUGGUGCUGCUCGACGAACAGGAGCUCAUCCAGGAGAUUCAGUGACCACAACAAGGCCGUACCAUCAGUGACCACAACAAGGCCGUACCAUUAGUGACCACAACAAGGCCGUACCAUCAGUGACCACAACAAGGCCGUACCAUCAGUGACCACAACAAG